rnacentral:lncRNA from 8 species
AGGCACAGACACUAUAUUGAGUGUGUUGCAGAGAGAGGUGAGGAGAGGGGCAAUGGCCUCCUCACUGAGUGUGACUGAAGGAGUAACUUCAUCAGAAUAAGUAACUCCUGUCUGGCCUGUCCUGGGGCUGUGGGAUUCUGACUCAUCGUUCCCUCUGAGUCUGCUGGGACUAGGAUUACAUAUGGCUGGCCGCACAGCAAAUGAGAACCCUGUCAACCCUGCCUCCCUCCUCUGCUUCUCAUAAUUACAUUGUGUUUGGAACUCUACCUCCAUUGAUUUUGGCAGCCCAGUGCUGGAAACACAGUGUGGAGUGAGACCAGAAUGCUGCCCCUUUCCCCAGUUCCCUGCAGCUCAACGUGAUUACACACAGGCAGGCAGCAGCAUCCUGGUUCAUUUCACAGUGUCAGCUCCAGUCACCAAGACCUCUGGGAAUGAAGCGAGGCUGCUCUGCUCCGUAAUGAGCCCCAGCCCAACCCAGGUGACUAAUUGGGUGAUUACCGUCAUUAAGUGGACAGCCAGGGGUCUCAACAGGUGCUCCAGUGGACCUCAGUGGCUGACUGAAGUGCAGUAAACUCCAACAGCAGCAGCAAACAGCAAGGCCAGCCAUACGCCAGUCUACCAUGAAUAUACCACCAGAUGAAAGCAGCAGAGUUAAAUAUAAAAACUGGCUUCAAAAGAACUGUUGGAGAUGGAUAUGAAUCAUUCAGGUAUUGUUAUGCUGAUGCACACAAUGCCCAAAGCACUGGGAUUUGUAUAAGAACAAUAUAAGAACUGUGAAUAGUUUAAUUUCAUUGUUACACUUAUAAGUGGGUGGACAACAUUCUUCAAACUGCGUCAAACCAGGCCAGAUCCUUCUGACUGACGCAUUAAUUAGUCUGUGAAUGACCAAGGCAUGACAACGCACUAAUAACAAGUUAAAAUUGACAUUCCCUUUGUAUCUUCAUUGAGGUAGCCUACACACUUCAAUUCAUCUAGCGGCAGCUCCUUUAGCCAAUCCCCUGAGCUCAUACUAAACAGAUUAUAACAACCCUUGAUUAGAUGAGAAUGACUAUAGGGAAGGCUCACAACUGCAUGGGACAUUACUCCCUCAAUGAGUCUCAUCUAAUCGAUUAAUUGCAUGAAUAUAUGGACCCUUAGUGGAAGGACUCUGACUGAUUAACUAGAUCACAGCUAAGUGAAUGCACUCUCACAUGCUAAUGCAGAA